UGAUGAUGUGUCGCAUGUAUCACUAGUACGAGAGGAACCGUGAUCGCACAAUUGGUCAUCGCGCUUGGUGAAAAGCCAGUGGCGCGAAGCUACCGUGCGCUGGAUUAUGACUGAACGCCUCUAAGUCAGAAUCCGGGCCAGAAGCGACGCGUUGUCCGCCGCUCGUUUGCCGACCAGCAGUAGGGGCCCUCCGGCCCCCAAAGGCACGUGUCGUUGGCUAAGCCCUCGCGGCGGACGAGCCGCGCGGGCCGCCUUGAAUUACAAUUUCCACCGGGCGGCGGACUGAAUCCUUUGCAGACGACUUAAAUACGCGACGGGGUAUUGUAAGUGGCAGAGUGGCCUUGCUGCCACGAUCCACUGAGAUUCAGCCCUUCGUCGCUCCGAUUCGU
rnacentral:ncRNA from 1 species